AGAGUUUGAUCCUGGCUCAGAUUGAACGCUGGCGGCGUGCUUAACACAUGCAAGUCGUGCGAGAAAGGGGACUUCGGUCCCUGAGUAGAGCGGCGCACGGGUGAGUAACGCGUGGAUGAUCUACCCAGAUAUUCGGGAUAACGGCGGGAAACCGCCGCUAAUACCGGAUACGCUCCAAUUUCGGUUGGGGGAAAGGCGGCCUCUGCUUGCAAGCUGUCGUAUCUGGAUGAGUCCGCGUCCCAUUAGCUUGUUGGUGGGGUAAUGGCCUACCAAGGCGACGAUGGGUAGCUGGUCUGAGAGGAUGAUCAGCCACACUGGAACUGAAACACGGUCCAGACUCCUACGGGAGGCAGCAGUGGGGAAUAUUGCGCAAUGGGGGAAACCCUGACGCAGCGACGCCGUGUGAGGGAAGAAGGCUUUCGGG
rnacentral:rRNA from 1 species